AAGCCAUGAUGAGGGCAUUGGUUGGUAUAACCCUUGAAAUGCUCCCAUGCUUCAUAGAAGCUUUCACCAGCCUUCUGUAAAAAGCCGAAGAUCUCGUUUCUGAGUCU
rfam:Arabidopsis thaliana chromosome 4, complete sequence.